rnacentral:rRNA from 1 species
UAAUACAGAGGGUGCGAGCGUUAAUCGGAGUAACUGGGCGUAAAGGGCACGUAGGCGGUUAGAUUAGUCUGAUGUGAAAGACCUGGGCUUAACCUGGGAUGUGCAUUGGAAACGGUCUAGCUAGAGUAUGGGAGAGGGAAGUGGAAUUUCCGGUGUAGCGGUGAAAUGCGUAGAGAUCGGAAAGAACACUCGUGGCGAAGGCGGCUUUCUGGCCCAAAACUGACGCUGAGGUGCGAAGGCGUGGGGAGCAAACAGGAUUAGAUACCCUGGUAGUCCACGCGGUAAACGAUGAGAACUGGAGGUAUGUUGACGUAAGUCGAUGUGUCUCUCAGCUAACGCACUAAGUUCUCCGCCUGGGGAGUACGGCCGCAAGGUUA